ensembl:lncRNA
AUUGGUCGAACCAGAAACAGAGACAGAACAUGAUGCUGUUGUGCCAGAGACUAAAGAACAGACGGAUGGAGAAAGUGGAGCAGGAGAAGAUGGAGCAGCAACCUCUUUCCAGGUGGAGGAGGCUGGAUCCAAUGAGGCCCCUGCAGACACAGAAAUUCUGGUGAGGGACAGCAGCAUCCUUUGUUGGUUGUCUUAUCUGGUGUACUAUUUCAUCACUGGUUUAUUAUGAGGCCAAACAAGUUGGCUUACAACAGUUGCCGAUGCAAAUUAUGUUUGUGGUUCAUAAAACAGUAUGCACAUUUUAUGUCAGUUCACACAUACAAAUAUGUACAAACCCAAAUCAGGUAUUGAAUUCUCUGUUUCCCGGUGAAGGUGGCAGAAGUCAAUGGAGAAAUGACUGACAGUCAAGAAGAAGAGAAUGAGGGGUCAGCAGUCACAACAGAGGAUGCACAGGCCACCCAAGAGCUCCCUCUAGAGGCUGAACCUGUCAUCCACAAUGGCACUGCUGAGGAGAUGGAGGCAGAGGGAGAAGCACAGGAUGACAUCAUUAACACUCCUGAAGAGUCUGGAGUAGUGGAGCAGAUGGACCAAGAACUUGUUACUGAGGAGAAACAGGAUACAGAGGCAGAAGUUUCUUCUCCAGUUGAGGAGGAAGAGGAAGUUCAGCAGGAAGAGGAAGUAGCUUCUGCAAUUGAGGAUGUAGCUUCAGCAGUUGAGGAAACCGAAGACACUGAUCAUCCACAAGCUGUUCCUGAGGCGCCAGUCAUUCCAGCCGACCUGGUUGAGUGUGUUUCCUCUGUGCAGGACAGUGAUGCAGCAGAGGAAGCAACUGCUCCUGAGCAGGAAGCUCCAGAGGAGGAGACAUCUGCUUCUCCUAGUGCAGCAGGUGAAGGAGAAGUCAUUAUAGAGACAGAGGAGUCAGCUCUGAGCCAACAAGAUGAUGAGACUGCCUCCGAUGAGCCACUUGAGACAGAGGAAAGCCAACCUGCAACAGAGGACUCUGAAAAAGAGGAAGAGGAAGAGAAUUUACCUGAGACGGAUGAAAAAGAUGAAGAGGAGGACACUGCCACCACUGAAGAUGAUGAUGAUGAUGAUUAUGAGGGGAAAAGCUCUGACACAACUCACGAUUCUCCUCCUGGGGUUCGAGUUCUUCGAGGAGGCAGGAUCAAACCCGUCCCGCCAACACCCAAGCGCACAUCCAGUAGACUGAGCAAAGCUGUGGUCAUACAGGUGGUGGAUGAGGAGUUUGAUGACGAUGAAGAGGAGGAGGAGGAAGAAAAGCUCACAAGCACUGAAGAGGAGAAGGGGAGCACAGAGGAAGAUGAAGCUGCCGUACAAAAUUCGGGAGAAGAGGAGGAGCCGCCAGUGAUUGACAGGAGAGUCUUGCGGAGGAAAACCAAAGUGAUCCAGUCCACACCCACAAAAGCAAAAAGACGCAGUAAAAACUGAUUUCAUACAUUCUUCAUGACACUCCAUUCAAAAAACAUAGUAUGUUAAGUUAGUAGGCAGUACUUGGUACACACAUAUACCACAAUCUGAACUAGAGUAUAAUCUAUACUAAAGCAUUGAGCGUCUUUUAUACUUGGGUUAGGGUUUCUAACAGGCAGUGUUUACAACAUCUAGUUUUUGGUUUUGUUUCAUGACUAAAAGAGAAAAUUAAAACAACAUGGCCAGUAUUUCAUAAGCACAGUCCUUGAUAAUAAUGCUGACUGCUCACAAUUAUAUCUGUGAUUUUAAUCUCCCUUACUUUUGAGUUACCUGAUGCUUGUUGAAUGCAGCUUAAACUGCUUAUAAAAAAGCAGCUAUAAGCUUGCAAAUUUACAAUGUGAAGAUCUUAUUUUAGGCGUGCUGCUGUGGAUUGAGUUUCACCAUUAUCGUUUCAGAUUUUGUUCUUACAAAUGUUUUGAUUUUCGGUUUUGUUUCACCUCACACAAUAAGGUUUUAAGGAGGUCCUUUCACAUUGGUUACGGCCUUUCAUAUGAUAAGUUAUUAAUUUUUCAAAAUUACGUGAAUUAAGGCAUUGCUGUGCACGUCCCCAUACAUACACACGCACAUAUACAUAUAUCCACACAUAAAUAUGCAAGUAUGUUUAUACCUGAGGGAAGUGCAGGUUAAUAUAAAGUUUACAUGAAGGCUAAUAUGUUAACUGUAUGGUUAAUUACUGUGUAUAUAUAUAUAUAUGUNNNNNNAUAUAUGGCGUGUUUAGCCUACAAAACAGAUUUGCGUUUAAAUAUCUUAAUGUCUUAUUUUAAAUACCAACUCUAGAUUAUAUAUUAAGCUGAAAACCAGUACAUCUUUAUAAUCUUUAUAAUUGUGGGUUUAAGUAGUGUAAUAUUAAGACUCGUGUUGACACCUGUUAGCAUUUUACUCAUGGUUUCUAUCGUUGGCAUUUUUCGUUCUGCGUGUCCUUUAGUAAAUAACGCAUAUAUAUGGUCUAAUCAUAUUUUGUUAAAGCUGUGAAAGAAAUUGCUCAAGUUUCGGUUUUUGAGUUUUAAUGUGGCUGACCACAUGAGGGCGCACUUGGAUGUUCAAAAAAGCCAUUGAGGUAGUUUCGUCACACUCUUUGAAGACUGUUGUUUGUCUUCGUCAUCUCAUUGUUGACACCUGAGGUCAGUUUCUUGCGUUAUUAUAUCAGGUGAAAAUAUGGAAAAACUCCAGAAAUGACCUUUAUAUGUGUAUUCUUCCAGAUUUUCUCUCAACUUAAAUGAGUCAAAGUUCAUGCUUUUUGUUGACAGAAAAUCAAAUAAAAGUAGACAUUUUUGAUCACAAUAUUGAGUGCUUUAAACUUUAUUUACUUAUUUUAGGUGUUUGAGCUAUAUUUUUCUGGAGUAGUUUUCUCAAACUGUGAUUUUUUCCUGUAGUAAAUAAAUACCUUUCUUGUAUAUUCCAUGUCCUCAUCAGUUUUUUUCAACCCUUUCAUAUGAAUGUGUAAAUAUUAAUACUCUGUGCUCUGAGUUGUGUAAACAUACACAUAUGGAUGAGGCGGAGUGAUUUUGUACAGCUGGUUGAAUGAUAUUUCGGUGCCAAUCAUUUG